UCUCGACGGACGGCACACGACGAGUGGCAAAUCCCUAACCCUAAACUUACGUGAAGAGCUUCCCGUUACGCAAAAGAUUUCCAUCACGCGAAAGGCUUCCGUUAUCUCAACCUUCUACUAAUAGCAAUUAUCUCGUUAAUUGGAUGGAUGAACUCAAUCGUGGUUUGUUUGUGUGAAGGAGAUUGAGAUUGUUUGUUCAAUAAGUAUUAAUUCAUUGAUGAAAUUUGUCUUCGUUGAUAUGAUAUGGGUAGUUAUAAAUGGUCUUAAAAUAGGUUGGGUGAACAGGUUUGCAAAUGCUGGAGAUAUGCUGUAGAAAUUGCAGAAACCACUGCAUAUAGAGUAAGAUAGAUAGACCGAUAAUAGCUUGUUUGCUUGUUGGCUGCAUACGGUCAUUUUUUGUUGCCUUUUCAGUUCAGGCAGGCUAAAAUGGAGAUCGUCUCAGCUAGCAAAUUUGCUUAUCGGUUCCUUGUUAAUGUUGCUGCUCCAAACUCACCAGCAACUGCAUCAAAUUCACCGGGCAAUUCAAAUAGAGGAAGCCCUAGAUUUCAAGGUACCUGGUUCAAGAACCUUGUUUCCUCCCCUGCUAAACUCACAGAUAAUAAUAAUAGCUCGGGGCUUGAACAACAAGAGGAAGUUCUUCUGCGAGAGAGAGACCCGCAUGUGUCAAUUCAUCAUCCGGCCGAAUUCAAACACAUAAUAAUUACAUCUCUUGUACUCUCGUCAUGUGUCCAUACUGCAUCAUUUCUUUUGUUUGUGUGAUGAUCAUUGUUUAGAACACUCAUGUUAUCCUCAACUACCAAAAUCUACUUUGUUA